GUAAAGCAGCUGGGCUGAUGGUUGCCUCUAGGUCCUGGGUAGUAAGUCUCUGGAAGCUCACUGAGCACCAAGGAUCAUUGUUUUCUUGUCAGUCGACUUAAAUCACUAAGUCUGGAUAUAGUAAUACCCAUUUUGGGUCAUCUGCUUCUAAGAGGGGUUCUGGGGCCCAGAGUAAAGGGCUGGUCUCUGUCUGCCUUAUCACUUGGCUGAGUCUUUGAGCCCAGGGACUGCUCUGCUCAAAUUAAGUUGUAUAUGCUUAAAUGUUUUAUUCAAAUGCUGUUUUUUUUUUUUUUAUCAAUUGAAAAAAGAAUCAGAGUUUGAAGGGUAGAAGCUGUUAUCCAGGACUGUUUACACCAGCAAGCCAUCAGAAAUCUACUGGGCACUAGUUCCAUCUCAAAAGCUAACAGAAUUUUGGAAAGCAGUCAAGUCUGUGAAGUUAGAGUUCGGUGGGUGUUUUGAUGUGCCAGGUCCUGACCUGCCCUAGGACCCUCCCCGACAUGUGUGUGUGACUUUUUCCCAAGAUGGAUUCCUGCCUUAGCAUCACAUAUUAUGGGACAGUGCCUUUUCCUUUUUGACCCCCAAGGAGGCUUUCUGGGCAUGUGAAAUGUCUCCUUUGCCUCAAGGAUGGGACAUAUAUAACCUCCUGAUCCUUUACUCAAACAAGGUUUAGCCCAUCUCUGUUCCUGCCAUGACUGUUAUCUUACAAUGUCCACAAGAGACAAGGCCUGGCUUUAGUUAUGCUUCCAUUUUGGAGAGCAAACAGGAAGAUGGUUAUAAGUGUCUAACCUGGAGCCCCCUUAGCCCCUGUCUCAGGAAAUGCAAAAGGAAGCCAGUUGUGAAUGCCUAGCCUGGGGCCCGUCUGUCUCCCACCUCAAUCCCUCAGAGUUUAUUGUUGUAAUUAAAAACAAUACAGUUUUAUCUAUGUUCCAUUUAUUGUUUUGUUUAUGUAUUACCAUGCGUUCCUGUUCAAAGGAAAACUAAAGUAAGC
ensembl:lncRNA